CAGGAAGCCAGCGAGGCCUGAGGGACAGGUGCGGGGAAAGCGAGGUUUUGUUCUAGAAGCCACUCCACGCCCUCCACAGAUGCCAUCACUACACUUCCUUCAGGGCUGGGUCUGAUGAGAGCUCAGAGUGCAAAAGAAAUGCUUUCCUUCUUGGCCCUUUCAAAUCUCACCCCAGCACUGAACAAGGUCUAACCUUUGAAUUUCAGAUGUUAGAAAUGUGGAAAGAUGAUCCAAUUAUAAUAAGAGGAAUGAAGUGAAUUCUCCUGAGGUGGUGGAAAUAGCUCAGGAACAGAAACCAAGAGAUCUGAGUUUUUGUCCCAGUUCUGCCACUUGUGAGUCGAUUAACCUUAGGCAAGUUAAUUCACCUCUGGGCUGGUUACUGAGGGUACUGGCCAGAGGCUCCAUAAGUCCCUUCCCCAGUGCCCUUUUGGGACUGUGCAGAACCCAGAGAGCCCUCAGUAACAAAACGGUACUCAAGCCUGCCUUCCACUGAAACCCUGGCUCCUGGAAUACUCCCCUCACCAGCCAUAAUGCCAUUACUGUCCCUUCCAGCUGCAGUCCAGCUGGAACCCAGUCUAGAGCCCGUUCUCAAUUUCAGAAAUGCCCCAAAUCACGAAGAAGUGAUGCGUGUUGGGCAUAUUCAGUCUCUGGUGGUCCGAAGGGCAAUUAUAGUCAAGAAACAAGUUGCACUUGCUGUGCCUGCGGCAGCCGGUACUCUGCAGAAAGGAAACCACCAAACCAAACCUAUUAUCCAAGUCACUGUGUCCACUGUUUUUGCAGAGUAAUAUUAUCUGAGAUAACUUCACAGUCAAGCUCUGAUUGAAUUGUUAGCAAUGGCUUUAUUUGCUGCUUUGUCAGGGCAAGAGAGUAACCGCUAGAUGAGACUAAGUCAGCUUUCCACAAACAUAUUUUUGCAGUGUGUUAGCAUUUGUGAAGAGGUAAACGUAUUUUCUGGAAACAGAGUAUACUUGCAGUUUUGUUCCUGACCAACAGUAGACCAAUCAGCUGAGGUCUGAACCCUAAUUAUGUACCAGAAUCGCCUUGAGUGCUUGUUAGCACAAUUCUUGGGCCUCAGGAAUCCACUGAGACUUUCUCAAAAGUUCCCCUAGAGACUAACUACUAGCAUUUUAUUCAAUUUCUGGAGUGAGUUCUGGAUGCUUACAUCACAUCCCUUUGUACUGUUUGAAAUCCUUCCCACAGAAGACACCUCACACACGCACAACAGUGCCACACUUAAGCCAACACCACAGGAAAAAUCUCCUUCUAAAACUCCUUGACCAAAUAUCUUGCUUUACCUACAUGGCUGACUUUUGAGUACGGCAGUCUUGGGCUUAUGGCACUUCCCUGGAGGCCUGUUAAUCACAAUCACUAGCAGGACACAGUGGCUCACACCUGUAAUCACAGCACUUUAGGAGGCCAAGGCAGGAGGCUUGCUGGAGCCCAAGAGUUCAAGGAUGCAGUGAGUUAUGAUUGCACCACUGCACUCUAGCCUGGGGGAAAGAGUGAGACCCUGUCUCAAAAAACAAAACCCACACUAAAAGCAUUGCUACAAAGUAAAGAAACAAGCAAUUCAGGAUGAAUGACAAGCAGCCAGCACUAUUUUCUAGA
rnacentral:lncRNA from 10 species